rnacentral:rRNA from 1 species
UAGGGAAUCUUCCGCAAUGGGCGAAAGCCUGACCGAGCAACGCCGCGUGAGUGAUGAAGGUCUUCGGAUCGUAAAACUCUGUUAUUAGGGAAGAACAAAUGUGUAAGUAACUAUGCACGUCUUGACGGUACCUAAUCAGAAAGCCACGGCUAACUACGUGCCAGCAGCCGCGGUAAUACGUAGGUGGCAAGCGUUAUCCGGAAUUAUUGGGCGUAAAGCGCGCGUAGGCGGUUUUUUAAGUCUGAUGUGAAAGCCCACGGCUCAACCGUGGAGGGUCAUUGGAAACUGGAAAACUUGAGUGCAGAAGAGGAAAGUGGAAUUCCAUGUGUAGCGGUGGAAUGCGCAGAGAUAUGGAGGAACACCAGUGGCGAAGGCGACUUUCUGGUCUGUAACUGACGCUGAUGUGCGAAAGCGUGGGGAUCAAACAGG